ACAUCAAAAUGGAAUCUUAAAAAAUAUGCAAUAGGUCUGAACGAAAUGAGUGAGAACGCGCUACCGUCGUUCUCAUCGAAACUGAGGUCC
ensembl:snoRNA SNORD116 Small nucleolar RNA SNORD116